GACGAACGCUGGCGGCGUGCUUAACACAUGCAAGUCGAACGGAAAGGCCCUGCUUGCAGGGUACUCGAGUGGCGAACGGGUGAGUAACACGUGGGUGAUCUGCCCUGCACUUCGGGAUAAGCCUGGGAAACUGGGUCUAAUACCGGAUAGGAGCCAUUUUUAGUGUGAUGGUUGGAAAGUUUUUUCGGUGUAGGAUGAGCUCGCGGCCUAUCAGCUUGUUGGUGGGGUAAUGGCCUACCAAGGCGGCGACGGGUAGCCGGCCUGAGAGGGUGGACGGCCACAUUGGGACUGAGAUACGGCCCAGACUCCUACGGGAGGCAGAAGUGGGGAAUAUUGCACAAUGGGCGCAAGCCUGAUGCAGCGACGCCGCGUGGGGGAUGGCGGCCUUCGGGUUGUAAACUCCUUUCGCUAGGGACGAAGCUUUUUGUGACGGUACCUAGAUAAGAAGCACCGGCUAACUACGUG
rnacentral:rRNA from 1 species